CCUUUCUCCUUCUCUUGCAAACAAAACCGGGCGUUCGAGAACCGCUCCCAGAUUCCUUGUGGACGGUCCCUCCCCACUCUUCCCCGGAGACCGCCGGAGUUGGGCAAGAGUCCCUCCCCUUUGUAGCUGUAGUUGUAUUUAGGGUCUUAAUGAAGCAGAUUUGACUUCGAGCUUCUGCCGGUAUCUCUCCUUCUAGAUCUGGCUGGAAAGGCCAUCGGAGACGGCGACGAUAGCAGUGUUUGCUACACUUUUGAACUGGCUCUGGUUGUCAACUUCCAACAAGUGUCCCUUCUUCUGUGCUACCAAUGGAGGCUACUAGUGGCAGGACGCCAUGAGUAUGCUUGGGCGUAUCAGGCUCUGCCGACGAGCUACUUGCUCCCGGCGCUGCCGAUGCCAAACUGCGCACAGAGGAUGAGUGGAUAGAAGGGCACUUCGCAACAGGGUUACGACGAGCAAGGUGGCUACUGUGUCUGUUCUUAUAUAGUUUGUUUCAGAGAACUCAAACUAACAUCUCUCAACUGUCAAUUUGAAGAGAAUUUUGUCAUGGAACAGUCUUCGGUGAAGACUGAUCUAGAACUGGCGAUAUGUUUAUAAGCGUUGUGCAAAAUUUUGGUGAUCUGACUGAGCAGGUCGGUUUUGAAAUAUAGCCAAAAAUCAUGUCAAUGUGCCACUACUGUUUUGCACAAAAUUCUGUUCUGUUUGGGUGGUGCCAAACUACCAACAGAAGACAUGCUGUCUUCUGGUAGACCAAUGCCAAAAUUGCAUAGUUGUAUGUUAUUUAGGGUCUCUAUUGCAUAUGACUUGGAGUUGUCUCUGUUGACAUCACGUGGUAAUGAAAUUUACAACAUCAUUCCUGCCAUAUUCAGUUUAAUCAAGCAGUAUACCCUUUGAUUCCCUACUCGUAAGGUGGUAUAAAUAAUCAAACCAGGGUUCAAAGCAUCAGUUUCUACUAUGUGAAAUGCAGUUUCAACUCUAAGGCUCUCUGGCCUCGCUUUGGCCUUUCUACUUCUACUAUACAUAAUUUUGGAGGGCAUCAAUAACUAAAUCCAAGAAGUUUACCCAUACACUUCUAUUUGCCACGUCUUGCUCAUUUUUUAUUCAGAUUUACUUCACUUAUAAUUAGAUAGUACGUAGUAAGUUAUACUAAUUCUGUAGUGUUCCUCCCUUUUCUUUUGGCGAAAGAAAGUGUUCCUCAAUUUUGAGCAAGUCCGAAUUCUGAAUAAUUGUUUUUUGUCCUGCUGCGUGAACCAGGAACUUUUGGACUUCGGAACAAUUCUCUACUACACGGUUCCUAUGAAAAUAUUAACAGCAUGUAGAUUUGCUUCAGUGUCAGUUGUUGUUAUGAGUUUCAACUCAUGUCAGCAUGGUCUUAACGUAUGACUGUCUUCAUAGCCCUGAAGAAGAAAAAUCCUAUAAGUUUAGCACAACUGAUGUUGUUUCAUUUGACGAUCAGUUUUAUUAAGCAUAAAAACAUUCACGUGACAUCUUUCAUUUGUAAUGCAAUGAGCAAUAAAGACUUGUAGAUUGUGUACCACUCUACUUGUGAAAUUCUUGGCAUUUUGGUUGUCUUUUGGGUCUAUUUACUUGACACAAAGUUUAGCAUUUUUAAACUCUUGAAUGCUUAUAACCUAAUGAUCUACUUAUAGUGUGCUUAUAACAAGGUCUGAAUGCUUCUAAACUUAUUAAACUAAAGGGUCCUGAUGAUUACAAUUUAUCAAUGUUUAUAGAGUAUAUUCCAAUGCAUCUCAUCCUGAUUAUGAUAUGUCGUGUUAAAUAGAACAAUAUUUCAGCAAAGGACAUGUCCUUUUUUUUGUAUUUCACAAGUACGUGAUUACCAUAUAAACUGAAAUUCUUGGCAUUUUGGUUGUCUUUUGGGUCUAUUUACUUGACACAAAGUUUAGCAUUUUUAAACUCUUGAAUGCUUGUAACCUAAUGAUCUACUUAUAGUGUGCUCAUAACAAGGUCUGAAUGCUUCUAAACUUAUUAAACUAAAGGGUCCUGAUGAUUACAAUUUAUCAAUGUUUAUAGAGUAUAUUCCAAUGCAUCUCAUCCUGAUUAUGAUAUGUCGUGUUAAAUAGAACAAUAUUUCAGCAAAGGACAUGUCCUUUUUUUUGUAUUUCACAAGUACGUGAUUACCAUAUAAACUGAAAUUCUUGGCAUUUUGGUUGUCUUUUGGGUCUAUUUACUUG